AGCUCCAAUAGCGUAUAUUAAAGUUGUUGCAGUUAAAAAGCUCGUAGUUGGAUUUCUGGCGGGGUGCCAAUGUCCGCCGUGUGGCGUGCGCAGCGGCGCCCUGUCAUCCUUCUGUUAACGUCUCUCGGGAUUUAUUUCUCGGUGGCGGGCUCAGAUAUUUUACCUUGAGAAAAUUAGAGUGUUUCAGGCAGGCUAGGCCGGAAUACAUUAGCAUGGAAUAAUGGAAUAGGACUACGGUCUCUUUGUUGGUUUGAGGGACUGGAGUAAUGAUUAAUAGGGAUAGUUGGGGGCAUUAGUAUUUGACUGUCAGAGGUGGAAUUCUCGGAUUUGUCAAAGACUAACUUAUGCGAAAGCAUUUGCCAAGGAUGUUUUCAUUA
rnacentral:rRNA from 1 species